rnacentral:rRNA from 1 species
AAGCGCUUGCAACCAGACUUGCGCGCUGAUGAUCAUCCGGGCUUUUGCCUGGUGCACUCGUCUGCGCUCAGGCCAGCAUCGGUUUCGGUGGUGGGAUAAAGGCCUUGGGAAUGUGGCUCCUCCGGGAGUGUUAUAGCCCAUUGUGUAAUACCCUGUGGUGGACUGAGGUUCGCGCAUCUGCAAGGAUGCUGGCGUAAUGGU